AUAGUGAUGAUGGGGGUAUUCCCAAUAGACAUGUGUAUCCCUUGAAUUAUAGCCUGCAUGGCACAUUAAUUGUGUGUGUGUUUGUUUGUUCUUGGCUGAGUAAGUAGUAAGACGAUUAUGUCCUGUCAAACAACACAAACUGAUCAUACAGUAUGUAUGACAUAGGCCAGGGGUUCCUAAACUUUUAUGUUCUGAUAGCAAAUUCAUCAGGGACCCCCUCAAAAUCAGAACACAACUCAGACUUUAGAGUGAGGUAAAACAAAAACAAAAAUAGCAUACAAGAAGUUUCAUGACUGCUGCAGUGCAUGCAUGGCCAGACUAACCAAUACUUCAGCCAUGGAAAGUAAAAUGUAAACAACAAUUGGACGCAAUACAAUACGUUUUUAGUUGAAAACUGGAUCAUUGAUGGAGUACUGUGGAUCCCUGUGAGCCUCCCAGGCCUUGUUGUGCGUCUACGGGCAUAUUGUAGAUUAAUAAUAUUGUAUUGUAUUGUAUUGCACCAACUUCUUCCACAGACCCCUUGGCCAAAUUUGUGUACAUUUGUGUAAGGUGUUGGUGUGACAACUGUUCUACAUUUCUUAACGUUUAAACAACACAUUUUUUAAAAUAGUUGUUCCGUUAAAGGUCCGAUCAGUGAACAUCAUGUUUUCAUAACAUUUGAGGAUAUUUUGAUGAAACCAGUGAAAAAUUACUGUAGCUGGUACAUUAAAGUUGAUCAUGAAGUUACUGGUCCCCUCCCCCAUGUCAAACACUUGAAUUCAGGGAUAACUUCUGUCUUUAUUUAACUAGGCAAGUCAGUUAAGAACAUAUUCUUAUUCACAAUGACGGCCUACCGGGGAAUAGUGGCUUGUUCAGGAGCAGAACGACAGAUGUUUACCUUGUCAGCUCGGGGAUUCGAUCCAGCAAACUUUCGGUUACUGGCCCAACGCUUUAACCACUAUGCAAUAUCAAGUAGGGCCGUAAAUGUUAUACACCAAUGGUAGCGUCUUGUAAUCUUAACUCAUUUAAAUAUGUAACGCCUUAAAACCGUGAUCACCUGUGCGCAUCAUACGGCUUUGUUUACAAACCAUAAAUAGCUCAAGUAGAACGUGGCAGAACGAUACUGAUAACUAAACUUUUCAUCUGUGUUGUAACUUAUAGCUAGCAAGCUACUUACCAUCCUGUCGGAAAAAACACACUGUGUUGUAACUGGAUGCCAUAGGGAUAAUUUAACAUUACACUAUUUUCUGAAGAACGAAGACAUCCGAAAGCAGUGGCUGCUUUUCAUUUCUGGUGGACAGGAUCAUAACACCGAUGUGCAGUGCACAUUUCGAGCGAAGUUGAUUUAUUAAUUGGGGAGAACAUUUGAUGUGUCUUGCCAGGAAGCUAAUCCUGAAGAUGGAUGCUGAACCAUCAUUGACAGUGGAUCAGUUUGUCUUGCAAGCACUGACCAUAAUCCCCCUACAUUGAGUCUGAGGACUGACAGCACACAGCUGAUAUGAAGGAAUGUUGUCCACAAAAGGACUUCUGGCAACCACCGCAGCAGGAAUGCCAUGAUACAAAAUCAGCUUUCCUAAGGCAAAGGGGGAUAUGCUGUAAAGCCUGUGAAGACAGACCAAAUAAGGGGGGGAUAUGCUGUAAAGCCUGUGAAGACAGAUCAAAUAAGGGGGGAUAUGCUGUAAAGCCUGUGAAGACAGACCAAAUAAGGGGGGGAUAUGCUGUAAAGCCUGUGAAGACAGAUCAAAUAAGGGGGGAUAUGCUGUAAAGCCUGUGAAGACAGACCAAAUAAG